rnacentral:rRNA from 1 species
AUUGAACGCUGGCGGCAGGCCUAACACAUGCAAGUCGAGCGGUAGAGAGAAGCUUGCUUCCCUUGAGAGCGGCGGACGGGUGAGUAAUGCCUAGGAAUCUGCCUGGUAGUGGGGGUUAACGUUCGGAAACGGACGCUAAUACCGCAUACGUCCUACGGGAGACCGCAGGGGACCUUCGGGCCUUGCGCUAUCAGAUGAGCCUCGGUCGGGUUAGCUAGUUGGUGAGGUAAGGGCUCACCAAGGCGACGAUCCGUAACUGGACUGAGAGGAUGCUCAGUCACACGUGAACUGAGACACGGUCAAGGUUCCUAAGGGAGGCAGCAGUGGAGAAUAUUGGACAAUGGGCGGAAGCCUGAUGCAGCCAUGCCGCGUGUGUGAAGAAGGUGUUCAGAUUGUAAAGCACUUUAAGUUGGGAGGAAGGGUUGUAGAUUAAUACUCUGCAAUUUUGACGUUACCGACAGAAUAAGCACCGGCUAACUCUGUGCCAGCCGCCGCCGUAA